GUUAAUUGGUGCAUCUUCCAGCCAAAAAAUGGAUGCUAAGACAGUUUCCAUGUGGAAUAUCAUAAUCCCGAUGCUUCUCUUGUUGUUUCUCUUAUCUAAAACGGUCGUUGCCGCACCAAACAACGUCUUCUCAGUCCCACCAGCCAAGAAGAAGAGAAGCCUGCGAAAUAAUUUUGUUCAAAUCAAAAUUAUGAUUCGGCGAAGUAUUCGUCCCCCGCCAAAUCCGGGACCCGGUCCCGGUCCCCCCCGGCUAUCCCCCCACUGCCGGUGAUUGAUUCCCAUUUAAAGUCACUGCCAAUGAUUAUAAAGCGUAAUUCCCUGGAGUUUGCCACCAACAUAGUGGUAACCUUCCCUUUGAAAUACGUUAGCAGGUUGAUUCCGAUAGAGUAUCAAUAUCAUAUGUAGGUAUCCCUUUUCAUUGUAAAAUGUAAACCAGCAUUAUGUCAGUUACAAUUUGCAAACUCUACUAAUAUCUUCAAAUGUGUGUCUGUUACUUUCAA